GUCUCUGAACAGAAAGUUCCUGCAGAUCGCAAAGAUGAUGAUGAAGAAGAUGAUGAUGUCCAAUACGCCAGUGUCCAGAUUAAGCCCAAAAAACAGCAAGAAGUGCCCAGUCAGGACGAGGACGUCCAGUUCAGCAAAUCCAAACCAGAGUCUACAAUCCCUGAGCCACCUCUGUCUGGCACAUCACAGGAGGAGACCCAGUAUGCCUCAGUGAAUCUGCAGGGACUCAGUGCUGCCACCCAAACAGCAGAGGUGGAAUCUGUGAUCUACAGCAACAUCAAUACACAUUCCAAACCAUAACAGCAAGACACCAUGGUUUGAGUAAGAAGAGACUACAACAAGAGACUACAGCCUGAUAUCAAGAUUGUCUGAUGAUUAGUGAUGCAGUGAUGUGUAAUAUUUAAGUAAUAAGAGCCCAUAAAAGUAAUAUUUAUGUAUUA